UACAGAGGUCUCAAGCGUUGUUCGGAUUCAUUGGGCGUAAAGGGUGCGUAGGCGGCGCGGUAAGUCGGAUGUGAAAUCUCAGGGCUCAACCCUGAAACUGCAUUCGAUACUGCCUUGCUUGAGGACUGGAGAGGAGAUUGGAAUUCACGGUGUAGCAGUGAAAUGCGUAGAUAUCGUGAGGAAGACCAGUGGCGAAGGCGGAUCUCUGGACAGUUCCUGACACUGAGGCACGAAGGCCAGGGGAGCAAACGGG
rnacentral:rRNA from 1 species